rnacentral:rRNA from 1 species
CAGUAGCCGCGGUAAUACAGAGGGUGCGAGCGUUAAUCGGAUUUACUGGGCGUAAAGCGUGCGUAGGCGGCUAAUUGAGUCGGAUGUGAAAUCCCCGAGCUUAACUUGGGAAUUGCAUUCGAUACUGGUUAGCUAGAGUGUGGGAGAGGAUGGUAGAAUUCCAGGUGUAGCGGUGAAAUGCGUAGAGAUCUGGAGGAAUACCGAUGGCGAAGGCAGCCAUCUGGCCUAACACUGACGCUGAGGUACGAAAGCAUGGGGAGCAAACAGGAUUAGAUACCCGAGUAGUCCCUGUCUCUUAUAA